UGGGGAAUAUUGCACAAUGGGCGAAAGCCUGAUGCAGCAACGCCGCGUGAAGGAAGAAGGGUUUCGGCUCGUAAACUUCUAUCAACAGGGACGAAAGAAAUGACGGUACCUGAAUAAGAAGCCCCGGCUAACUACGUGCCAGCAGCCGCGGUAAUACGUAGGGGGCAAGCGUUAUCCGGAAUUACUGGGUGUAAAGGGUGAGUAGGCGGCAUGGUAAGCCAGAUGUGAAAGCCUUGGGCUUAACCCGAGGAUUGCAUUUGGAACUAUCAAGCUAGAGUACAGGAGAGGAAAGCGGAAUUCCUAGUGUAGCGGUGAAAUGCGUAGAUAUUAGGAAGAACACCAGUGGCGAAGGCGGCUUUCUGGACUGAAACUGACGCUGAGGCACGAAAGCGUGGGGAGCGAACAGG
rnacentral:rRNA from 1 species